UGCUCUCUUCGCAAGAAGAGAGAGUUUCCAUACACACCGUGAACUGUGGCUUCGGCCAUCACAAACUGUUAGUAAUGAAUGUAAUAUCAUAACAAAAACAAAACUUUUAACAACGGAUCUCUUGGCUCUCGCAUCGAUGAAGAACGCAGCGAAAUGCGAUAAGUAAUGUGAAUUGCAGAAUUCAGUGAAUCAUCGAAUCUUUGAACGCACCUUGCGCCCUUUGGUAUUCCGAAGGGCAUGCCUGUUUGAGUGUCAUGAAACCUCACCCCACUUGGGUUUUUGCCUGAGCGGUGGUGUAUUGGGUGUUGCCUUGCUAAAGGCUCGCCUUAAAGACAUAAGCACCUUGGAUGUAAUACGUUUCAUCCUUCUGGGUGGCUGAUAACCCCACAUAUUCAUGAUCUGGCCUCAAAUCAGGUAGGGCUACCCGCUGAACUUAAGCAUAUCAAUAAGCGGAGGAAAAGAAACUAACUAGGAUUCCCUUAGUAACGGCGAGUGAACCGGGAUGAGCUCAAAUUUAAAAUCUGGCGUCUUUCAGGCGUCCGAGUUGUAAUCUAUAGAGGCGUUUUCCGCGCCGGACCGCGUCCAAGUCUCUUGGAAUAGAGUAUCAAAGAGGGUGACAAUCCCGUACUUGACGCGACAACCGGUGCUCUGUGAUACGUUCUCAAUGAGUCGAGUUGUUUGGGGAU
rnacentral:rRNA from 1 species